GGAGUUAGCCGGUGCUUCUUCUGUGAGUGAUGUCCUUCCUGCCGGCUAUUAACCCGCAGGCCUUCUUCCUCACUGAAAGUGCUUUACAACCCGAAGGCCUUCUUCACACACGCGGCAUGGCUGGAUCGGGGUUGCCCCCAUUGUCCAAUAUUCCCCACUGCUGCCUCCCGUAGGAGUCUGGGCCGUGUCUCAGUCCCAGUGUGGCUGAUCAUCCUCUCAGACCAGCUACGGAUCGUCGCCUUGGUGAGCCGUUACCUCACCAACCAGCUAAUCCGACAUAGGCUCAUCCGAUAGCGCGAGGCCCGAAGGUCCCCCGCUUUCCCCCGUAGGGCGUAUGCGGUAUUAGCCUGGGUUUCCCCAGGUUAUCCCCCACUACCGGGCAGAUUCCUAUGCAUUACUCACCCGUCCGCCGCUCGCCACCAGGGAGCAAGCUCCCCGUGCUGCCGCUCGACUUGCAUGUGUUAGGCCUGCCGCCAGCGUUCAAUCUGAGCCAGGAUCAAACUCUGA
rnacentral:rRNA from 1 species